CUACAACCAUGAAUACGGACAAUCUGGACAUGAUGGUGGCAGGGGUUCGGUAGCAAGAACAGGAGGAGGGUCUGAAAAGUGAGCACAAUUACUAAUCAUUUUUACAGUUGUUGAUUUAGAUUCUGAUUCAUACUCUAAAAUAGGAGGGUUAAAAUUCUGUAUUCAACGCUACAAAUAGACUCUACAAGAUGACAGUGAGACCGUGCGCAGAAAGCUGAAUGUGCAAGAUCGACAUCUUUGCUAGUAAAAAAUGUAGCAUUUUCUUUUUGCAGAAACUACAUCUUUGUAGCACAAGUCCAAAUAAACAACCUAUCACAGGAGCAACAACACAACGCCCACUAUAGUCAAGAAUUACGCACCUGAACCGAAGCAUAGGCUAAAGAUAAAUUCGGAACAUAGGUAUUCUUAUAUAUAGAUGUAUGCCGCUACUCUAAAAUGCAAAGUCACUGUCACCGCAUCCCAAAUUGCAACACCAAUCCCUUAACUUCAAAUCUACUACAUCAAUUAAUCAUAGGAAAUACACAGGUCAUUAUGAUACCCCUAGGAAAAGGCGCUCUUGGAGGCAGGCAGCUUGCUCCAGACGCCCUCGUUAUGAGCAUAAUUGAUUAACUAUCAAAUGAGCAUCCACUCAAAUUAUCUAAAGGCAGAUUAUUCUUUGUGGUGGUCUGCACGCUAUAAAUUUUCAAGUAAUGGUACUUUCUUAUACAUGUUAUACAUGAAAUUAUCUAAAGGGAAACUCAGUAUUUUUCAGGCUAGCAUUGAAACGGAGGAGCUACCCACUUUCUGUCUUAUAUAGGUUAUACAUGAAAUAAAAUGAAGUAUACAUGGUGUGUAAAUGAUUACUGAAUUGCUCCUCGCUAUCCAGAUAAAUUGAUUUCAACCGCCCAAUCACAGCAGAGAGCACGAACACUGAGCCUCAAAACAUUCAAAACAAACCAAAUUAGGUAACCGAAAGAGUACAAACCUUAUGCAAAGUGCUUGUGCAGCCAGACCAAGAGGACGAACCGAGGAGGUAGGAGAUGAAGGGUAUGUGCAGAAUAGAAUGCAUGCAUCAAUGGAGGAAGCUCCAAAGGCACCAAACCAUCCACAAAGCUAUCUUACACCUAUUAGUGAGUGCCAGCAAUUAGUAUUCAUUCCUAUAACAGACUAAAAACCAUCAUGCACUUAAGGUGCCUUGAGAUUUGAUAGGUUUUCCUAUAAAUAAGUAACAAAUGGGAGAAAUGUAAUAACUAAGAAACGAUGACGUAGAAUGUACCUUGUUGCCGGCUAAGAAAAUCGAAGCUCUGAUUGAAGCACAUAGUACAAAAGACCAUCCAUAAUAACUUUUCUCCAUCGAAGCUCUGCAAGCAAACAAUACAAUAGCUUUUGUUCAAAAAACCAGGAGAAACCGAAAGCAAAUGAUUCAGUACCACAACUACUUUAUUAAGC
rnacentral:lncRNA from 1 species